AUGUGAAAUUGAAAGGCUGUGAUAAAAAAUGCAGUCACGUUGGAAGAGAUGCAUCAGGGCUUAGUGGUGUGAGCUACGCAGGCAUUGGAGAACAUAAAAAAGACUAUUUCAGCCCAUAUCGAGAAGCAGUUUGACAAGAAGUACAAUCCCACCCGACAUUGCAUCACGGGGAGGAACUUUGGUAGUUGCCUGACACAUGAAACCAAGCACUUCAUCUACUUCUACCUGGGCCAAAUGGGCAUUCUUCUGUUCAAAUCUGGUUAA
rnacentral:lncRNA from 1 species